GACUCGUUGCCUCGGCGGGAGGCCCCUGGGAGGGGCCGCUGCCUGCGAGGGCGCCCGCCGGAUACGACGCAUACUCUUGCUUUACAGGCCUCUCUGAGCGAAAACACAAUAGUUAAAACUUUCAACAACGGAUCUCUUGGCUCUGGCAUCGAUGAAGAACGCAGCGAAAUGCGAUAAGUAAUGUGAAUUGCAGAAUUCAGUGAAUCAUCGAAUCUUUGAACGCACAUUGCGCCCGCUAGUAUUCUGGCGGGCAUGCCUGUUCGAGCGUCAUUUCAACCCUCAGGCCCCGCCUGGUGUUGGGGACCCCGCGGCCGCCGCGGGCCCCGAAAAUCAGUGGCGUGCUCGCCGCGAGCCCGAGCGUAGUAAUCAUCCUCGCUCCGGGACCGCGACGGGCGCCCGCCGUGAAACCCCCCACUUAUUCAGG
rnacentral:misc_RNA from 1 species